AUGCAGUUCCCCCCGUCGCCCGCGCGCUCCAUGGCCGCGCCCGCGGCCGUGCCCGCCGUGUCCUGCCUGCGCCUCCUCCUCCUCCCCGGGUUCAGCGCCUCCCUCCUCGCGAGCCGCGGCCGCGCCCGCGGGGUGGCGGUGAGGUCGGGCGCGGCCCCGCCCGACCCGGCGGCCAUGCUGCGCCGGCCGGCCGCCGCCACGACGGCCGCGGAGGAGCGGGAGGCCGACGCGGACGCCUCGCUGGGCUCUCCGGUGGACGACGAGCCGCCCGAGGAGGGGAGGAGGAGGGGGCCCGAGAGGGAGUGGGUGGACUGGGAGGACCUCAUCCUCGAGGACACCGUGCCGCUCGUCGGCUUCGUGCGGAUGAUACUCCACUCCGGCAAGUACUCAAGUGGUGAGCGGUUGAGUCCUGAACAUGAAAAGGCCAUACUUGAACGAUUGCUUCCAUAUCAUCCACAAUAUAAGAAGAAAAUUGGAUGUGGUAUCGACUACAUCACGCUAGGGUUGCAUCCAGAAUUCGAGAACUCAAGGUGUUUGUUCAUAGUUAGGACGGACGGCGAGCAGGUCGAUUUUUCUUUCUGGAAGUGCAUCAAGGGUCUCAUAAGACAAAAGUACCCCUUGUACGCAGACAGUUUCAUUCUCAGACAUUUCCGCAGGAGGCAGGACUACUGA
rnacentral:rRNA from 1 species